ACGCACGCUGGCGGCGUGCUUAACACACGCCAGUCGCACGGAAAGGCCCUGCUUUUGUGGGGUGCUCGAGUGGCGAACGGGUGAGUAACACGUGAGUAACCUGCCCUUGACUUUGGGAUAACUUCAGGAAACUGGGGCUAAUACCGGAUAGGAGCUCCUGCUGCAUGGUGGGGGUUGGAAAGUUUCGGCGGUUGGGGAUGGACUCGCGGCUUAUCAGCUUGUUGGUGGGGUAGUGGCUUACCAAGGCUUUGACGGGUAGCCGGCCUGAGAGGGUGACCGGCCACAUUGGGACUGAGAUACGGCCCAGACUCCUACGGGAGGCAGCAGUGGGGAAUAUUGCACAAUGGGCGGAAGCCUGAUGCAGCAACGCCGCGUGCGGGAUGACGGCCUUCGGGUUGUAAACCGCUUUCGCCUGUGACGAAGCGUGAGUGACGGUAAUGGGUAAAGAAGCACCGGCUAACUACGUG
rnacentral:rRNA from 1 species